AGUGAACGCUGGCGGCAGGCCUAAUACAUGCAAGUCGAACGGCAGCACAGCAGAGCUUGCUCUGUGGGUGGCGAGUGGCGGACGGGUGAGGAAUACAUGGGAAUCUGCCCAGUCGUGGGGGAUAACGUAUGGAAACGUACGCUAAUACCGCAUGCGCCCUUUGGGGGAAAGCCGGGGACCUUCGGGCCUGGCGCGAUUGGAUGAGCCCAUGUUCGAUUAGCUAGUUGGCGGGGUAAAGGCCCACCAAGGCGACGAUCGAUAGCUGGUCUGAGAGGAUGAUCAGCCACACUGGAACUGAGACACGGCCCAGACUCCUACGGGAGGCAGCAGUAGGGAAUAUUGGACAAUGGGCGCAAGCCUGAUCCAGCCAUGCCGCGUGAGUGAAGAAGGCCCUCGGGUUGUAAAGCUCUUUUGUCCGGAAAGAAAAGCAUUCGGUUAAUACCCGGGUGUUCUGACGGUACCGGAAGAAUAAGCAACGGCUAACUUCGUG
rnacentral:rRNA from 1 species